rnacentral:rRNA from 1 species
UACGUAGGGAGCGAGCGUUGUCCGGAUUCAUUGGGCGUAAAGAGCUCGUAGGCGGUUCAGUAAGUCGGGUGUGAAAUCUCCGUGCUCAACACGGAGCGGCCACUGAUACUGCUGCGACUCGAGUCCGGUAGGGGAGUGUGGAAUUCCCGGUGUAGCGGUGAAAUGCGCAGAUAUCAGGAGGAACACCGGUGGCGAAGGCGGUUCUCUGGGCAUGUCCUGACGCUGAGGAGCGAAAGUGUGGGGAGCGAACAGG